rnacentral:misc_RNA from 1 species
GUUGCGGGCUGCUAUACGACGGGGGCUGGUUGCGGGGUUCAUCGGAGCAACUGGCACGGCGGGUUGCGGKUUCAGCAGAGCUACUGGCACGAUGGGUUGCGGGUUGCGGUACGAUGUGGGCUGGCUACUGGCACGACGGGUUGCGGGCUGCGGUACGAUGGUGGCUGGGUGCGGUGCAAUUUCGACGCGUGCGGUUGAUUUAUAUAUAAAAAUCAAGACGCGCGCGCGCCGCGCCAAGCGCCCAAGUGCCGAAGUGCCUAAGUGCCCAAGUGCCACGUGCGCGCGUGCGUUUCAUUUAAUGACCUAACUAUUGCCUUAAUGUUUGCAUUUCAUUGAAAAAUGAAUUUGUGCUUGUUUGUAAUCAAGGCUACAUGUGUUUAUUUGUCACUUCACAUGUUAUCAUGAUAUUAAAACUUGCAUGUUUGCCUUUAGACUACAUAUUUGUGCUUGUUUGAUGUUAGGCAUCUCACCAGUGCAUUUGAUAUAAAUUUUUCGUGCCUUGUAGGUUCUUGCCUUUCUCAUUGUGACCAAGACUCAUUGCUUCGCAAUAUUUCAGAGUUUGCUUAUUCUUUGUUAUUAGUCGAUGUUAUGGACUGGUUGGUGUGGCUAGGCUGGAGACUAUUUGUGGCACCUGAGUUGUAUUGAACUCUAUUUUUAUUGAUAGGUGGUUAUUUUGUGCAGUUAACUAUCACUAUACGAGUUCUAUCAUUCCAUGACUUGAUCUUGUUUAGAUCAAAUUGAGGUUUUUAAGAGUUUGCAAUUUAAAUUCAGGAUAUGAUAUUAAUUCUCGACGAUGUUUCAUAAUUAGUCAUUGUCUAUAUUUUUUAGACAAUGAGAGUGCUUUUUUUGAAUGCAAUCCUUUACUAAUUGUUUCAAGAAUUGUCUCGUUACAUUCUUGUUUCAUAAGCAGGUAAUAUGAGGAUCUCAUCAUAUUGUUGUAAAUGCGGCUCCUUUCAAAAUGGGUCUUGGUGUUAUUGGCACCUUGCAAGAAGCAAUUAAUUGAAAGAUGACAUUGCCUUGUCUUCUGUGCGACUUUGGUUUUUUCCCUCCCUUCCAUGUAGAUGGUUGUUGUGGAUGAGAUCAUAGUUGUGUUGAGGCCGUGC